AUGGCCUGAAUUUACAAAGGAUCAUUUUCAAUGAUAUGGAUACCAUGUGUUUCAGUAAAAUGAAAUCUGGAGAUCCUAAGUGAAACUAAUAUUUCUCAAAGCAUUGGGUAAAAGCCAUCUAAAAGAAUAAAUCAGUUUAUGAUCAUGGAGCACUCUGAGAACAGGAAGGCUCAUUUUCCCUUGAAUAAGUCACAGAAUGGAACAAAGUGUCCGUUACAUAUAAUUCUCUUCAUCUUAAAUCUACCCUGGCUAUUGGCACCUUGGUUGGCACAAAGGCCACGAAACUGCUGAAUUGAAACUGAAAUGUCAAUUUGGGGACUUGAUUUCUAUUGCAUGUAUCUUGAACCAACAGUACUUAACUCAUGAGAUUGAAGGAAUUUAUUCUCCAAAGUGUUAAUGUUUUGCUCAUUCUUCAUUAAACCUUUGUUUUAAUUGCA